GGAGGGGUGGCCGAGCGGACGAAGGCAGGUGAUUUGAAAUCACCCGAGGGUUAACAGCCCUCCGGGGGUUCGAAUCCCUCCCCCUCCG
rnacentral:tRNA from 1 species